UGGUUAUUAUUCUGCACUGCAUUUGUGAACAGCACGGCACAACAUUCACGUCUUAAGUGUUCAUAUUAUGGUCCUGAUUAUUGUUUUUCUUUAAUCUUACACUUGGAAACAAUCUGCAGGAACCUGUAUUGCUUCAGCCAUCAAUCUGGGAAACUUGAGCACUUGAUGAAGAUGAUGAUGCUGUUGGAUGUUUAGACAAGAGGAUAAGAUCUUCUGUGGCUAGGCUCAAUGCUGUUACAUCUGCUAGUGUGGGCUAUCAGGUCAUGUUUUUGUUUCUUCACGCAAAUUACAAUACACAUAUAUAUUGAUGUCUUGGGGUAAUAAGAGACCAUGACUAGUCAUUUUGUGUGGCAUCCUUCUAAAAAGUUAUUCUAGUAGUCUUUUUGAGGUAAAAGUUAUUCUAGUAGUCUUUUUGAGGUUUAGAAAUGAGGACUGUACGUUCAGAAAAUGUGUAGACUGUAACUUCAGGCAUUCGAUCUUUUCAUUGUUAUUUUUGGUAGAACACUUGUUUAUUUGGGCAGAGGAUAUGGUUGGAAGUAAGAACGUUUACCAAAAUUCUUGUAUUAUGUAGGAAGUCAUACUUGUAGAGCUUGAGGGAGACAGAGAUUACCACAUGCCUGUUGAACUUGGAGGUAGUGGUGGAAUGGUAUGCUUAAAAUAUAUUUCCGUGUCUCUGUGUUAUGCAUUAUGUUUCGCUAGCCAAUUAUUUUAUUUAUCAAGUUAUUAAUUUUGUAAGGUUUAUUUCAACUAAUUUACAUGUUGAAGUUGAGAAAAACUAGUUGCUGGAAAUGCGCAAAAGGAUUGAAGAUCAUUAUAGAAAAAAAGUCGAGCUUGAAACUAUGCGAAAAGAGUUUGCCAGCAAGCGACACAACUUGGAAGCUAUGGUGCGGAAGGUUAUGAAACAAUAGUUGGAGAUCGAGAUGAGUAGAAUGUUUUCACUUUUUUAUUAUUGUAAUUGACUGUAGAGUUAUUUAAGUUUCGACAAACAUGUUGAAGUACACACUUUGACUAUUAAUGAUAUCUUUGUUAUUAUUGUUU